rnacentral:lncRNA from 1 species
AUGCUCCGACAGACACAUCUCCCAGAGAAAACGCCACCGCCCACACCCGGGACACACCAGGGACUGUUUCGGCGCAAGUGGACUUUCUCAACCCACCCCCAUGCAAGCAGAGGGGACGUACACCCGACCCCGCGCCCGAGCACUGCAGCGGACCUGGGCGGCAUCCCGCGCUCGCAACGCCCCCUCGGCGCGGGCACGACCCGGCGGGUCACAGAGAAGGAAACUGAGGCUCGCAGGUGGAGGGACCUGCCCAAGGUCAGGCACCGCCAGCGAGCGGCGGGGCCGUGGCUCGAAGCCGGGGUCAGGGUGACGACGGCCGCGGGAACCCGCAGCAACCGCCGGGCGCGGUCCCGCCAGCGCCCGCCGGGCAUCCCACCCCGAGCCGAGGCCCCGUGGAGGCGGCGGCCGCGUUACCUGGAGCUGCAGCCGCCGAGCGUGGCUCCGCUCUGGCUCGCCUCGGUCCUGCGCUGCGCCAGCUGCGCUCCGGGCAGGGAUGGAGCGGGCGGCGCUGCCCGCCCGCGCCCCGCACCCACUUCCUCGUCUCCGCCCCCGACUCGCUCCUCCUCGCUCUCAACCGCUCCUUCCCUUCCUUCCCUUCCUUCCCUCUCCGUCUCUCUGUCUCCCUUUCUCUCUCUCUCCCUCUCCUCUCCUUCCCCCUCGCUCCAUGCACGGCGCGCGCACACAUUUUCUCUUCGUUGGCUUUUCUCCCUCUCUGCACUGCCUCUCCCACACUCUCACCCACUUUCUCUUCUGCUUUCUCCCAGACCUUCUUUCCUUCCCUCUCUGGCUCUGACACUUCUCCCUUCCUCUUUCUUUCUGUUACACUGCCCCCUCUUUCUCUCACUUUUUUCCCUUGUUUUCCCCCCCUCCCCCCUCAGCCUGGCCUGGGACCCAGCAUCCCUCCACCUGUUCCGUAAUUGGCGGAGUGGAAGGGGCUCCCAGCUGUGGCGCAGCUGGGGGUCAGGUGGGCCCCACACCUUGAGUGCCCAGCGCCCAGCUACUUCAAACCAGGCUAGAAGUGAGAGAAAGAAGUAG